UGGGGAAUCUUCCGCAAUGGACGAAAGUCUGACGGAGCAACGCCGCGUGAGUGAAGAAGGUUUUCGGAUCGUAAAGCUCUGUUUUUAGGGACGAAUGGUAGAUAUUCGAAUAGAGUAUGUACAUGAUGGUACCUAAAGAGGAAGCCACGGCUAACUACGUGCCAGCAGCCGCGGUAAUACGUAGGUGGCAAGCGUUGUCCGGAAUUAUUGGGCGUAAAGGGCGUGUAGGCGGGAUAAUAAGUCUGUUGUAAAAGUGCGGGGCUCAACCCCGUAAGGUCAAUGGAAACUGUUAUUCUUGAGUGCAGGAGAGGAAAGUGGAAUUCCCAGUGUCGCGGUCAAAUGCGUAGAUAUUGGGAGGAACACCAGUGGCGAAGGCGACUUUCUGGACUGUGUCUGACGCUGAGGCGCGAAAGCCAGGGGAGCGAACG
rnacentral:rRNA from 1 species